rnacentral:rRNA from 1 species
AGCAUAUCAAUAAGCGGAGGAAAAGAAACCAACAGGGAUUGCCUCAGUAACGGCGAGUGAAGCGGCAACAGCUCAAAUUUGAAAUCUGGCGCCCUCGGCGUCCGAGUUGUAAUUUGUAGAGGAUGCUUCGGCGAGGGCUCCCGUCUAAGUCCCUUGGAACAGGGCGUCGCAGAGGGUGAGAAUCCCGUAUGUGAUGGGUUGCUCGAGCCAUGUGAAGCUCCUUCGACGAGUCGAGUUGUUUGGGAAUGCAGCUCUAAAUGGGAGGUAAAUUUCUUCUAAAGCUAAAUACCGGCCAGAGACCGAUAGCGCACAAGUAGAGUGAUCGAAAGAUGAAAAGCACUUUGGAAAGAGAGUUAAAAAGUACGUGAAAUUGUUGAAAGGGAAGCGCUUGCAACCAGACUCGCGCGCAGUUGCUCAGCCGGUCUCCUGACCGGUGUACUCUUCUGCGUCCGGGCCAGCAUCAGUUCGGGCGGUCGGAUAAAGGCCUCGGGAACGUGGCUCCCCUCGGGGAGUGUUAUAGCCCGGGGUGCAAUGCGGCCAGCCUGGACUGAGGAACUCGCUUCGGCUAGGAUGCUGGCGUAAUGGUUGUAAGCGGCCCGUCUUGAAACACGGACCAAGGAGUCUAACAUCUAUGCGAGUGUUUGGGUGUCAAACCCAUGCGCGUAAUGAAAGUGAACGGAGGUGGGAACCCUCACGGGUGCACCAUCGACCGAUCCUGAUGUCUUCGGAUGGAUUUGAGUAAGAGCAUAGCUGUUGGGACCCGAAAGAUGGUGAACUAUGCCUGAAUAGGGUGAAGCCAGAGGAAACUCUGGUGGAGGCUCGCAGCGGUUCUGACGUGCAAAUCGAUCGUCAAAUUUGGGUAUAGGGGCGAAAGACUAAUCGAACCAUC